UACAGAGGUCUCAAGCGUUGUUCGGAUUCAUUGGGCGUAAAGGGGUGCGUAGGUGGCGCCGUAAGUCAGGUGUGAAAUUUCGGAGCUUAACUCCGAAACUGCAUUUGAUACUGCGGUGCUUGAGGACUGGAGAGGAGACUGGAAUUUACGGUGUAGCAGUGAAAUGCGUAGAGAUCGUAAGGAAGACCAGGUGGCGAAAGGGCGGGGUC
rnacentral:rRNA from 1 species